GAUGAACGCUGGCGGCGUGCCUAAUACAUGCAAGUCGAGCGAACUGAUUAGAAGCUUGCUUCUAUGACGUUAGCGGCGGACGGGUGAGUAACACGUGGGCAACCUGCCUGUAAGACUGGGAUAACUUCGGGAAACCGAAGCUAAUACCGGAUAGGAUCUUCUCCUUCAUGGGAGAUGAUUGAAAGAUGGUUUCGGCUAUCACGUACAGAUGGGCCCGCGGUGCAUUAGCUAGUUGGUGAGGUAACGGCUCACCAAGGCAACGAUGCAUAGCCGACCUGAGAGGGUGAUCGGCCACACUGGGACUGAGACACGGCCCAGACUCCUACGGGAGGCAGCAGUAGGGAAUCUUCCGCAUUGGACGAAAGUCUGACGGAGCAACGCCGCGUGAGUGAUGAAGGCUUUCGGGUCGUAAAACUCUGUUGUUAGGGAAGAACAAGUACAUGAGUAACUGCUUGUACCUUGACGGUACCUACCAGAAAGCCACGGCUAACUACGUGCCAGCCGCCGCAGUAA
rnacentral:rRNA from 1 species